UUAAAUUAGGCUUUUAUUCUGAAAAAUGUAGUUGGUAACUCGUUGUGUUGCUAUUUGACUUGAUAGAAGAAGUUUACGGCAGGCGUUUCUGUGUGAAUGACAGUCGAGUGCGCGUGUGUCUGCGGGAUAUUACAAUAGCUUGUGUUUGGCGGUAGUUUAACAGCUAUCAGAAAGAAGUUGUUUCAAGCAGGACAGCGUCGGUGGAGACUAUUCACAUUAGCGACUCCAUCCACACUGGUUUACAUCACCAUCAUUAGAAAAGGCUUGGGAGUGAGACUCCCAUUAAACUAAGCAACCCCAGAUUGCUACAGAAGAGAGCUUUGAGCUUCCAGAAAGAAUUCACCUACGACGAAAAAGACGACCCAGCUAAAAGCAAAGAUAUAGAUGUUAGUCUCUUGGCCAAUCUCCCAAAGGUGAGUAAGGGUUUUCUUUUGCUUUAUUUUCUGCCUGCUUGCAAAUUGGUCCUCACCAUGUCAACCUUUUCAGGGAUUUUGAAAGUCACUGUUGUGCAACAGC
rnacentral:lncRNA from 1 species